GAUGAACGCUGGCGGCGUGCCUAAUACAUGCAAGUCGAGCGAACAGACGAGGAGCUUGCUCCUCUGACGUUAGCGGCGGACGGGUGAGUAACACGUGGAUAACCUACCUAUAAGACUGGGAUAACUUCGGGAAACCGGAGCUAAUACCGGAUAAUAUAUUGAACCGCAUGGUUCAAUAGUGAAAGACGGUUUUGCUGUCACUUAUAGAUGGAUCCGCGCCGCAUUAGCUAGUUGGUAAGGUAACGGCUUACCAAGGCAACGAUGCGUAGCCGACCUGAGAGGGUGAUCGGCCACACUGGAACCGAGACACGGUCCAGACUCCUACGGGAGGCAGCAGUAGGGAAUCUUCCGCAAUGGGCGAAAGCCUGACGGAGCAACGCCGCGUGAGUGAUGAAGGUCUUAGAAUCGUAAAACUCUGUUAUUAGGGAAGAACAAAUGUGUAAGUAACUAUGCACGUCUUGACGGUACCUAAUCAGAAAGCCACGGCUAACUACGUG
rnacentral:rRNA from 1 species